rnacentral:rRNA from 1 species
ACGCUGGCGGCAGGCCUAACACAUGCAAGUCGAACGGUAGCACAGAGAGCUUGCUCUCGGGUGACGAGUGGCGGACGGGUGAGUAAUGUCUGGGAAACUGCCUGAUGGAGGGGGAUAACUACUGGAAACGGUAGCUAAUACCGCAUAACGUCGCAAGACCAAAGAGGGGGACCUUCGGGCCUCUUGCCAUCAGAUGUGCCCAGAUGGGAUUAGCUAGUAGGUGGGGUAACGGCUCACCUAGGCGACGAUCCCUAGCUGGUCUGAGAGGAUGACCAGCCACACUGGAACUGAGACACGGUCCAGACUCCUACGGGAGGCAGCAGUGGGGAAUAUUGCACAAUGGGCGCAAGCCUGAUGCAGCCAUGCCGCGUGUAUGAAGAAGGCCUUCGGGUUGUAAAGUACUUUCAGCGGGGAGGAAGGUGAUGAGGUUAAUAACCUUGUCAAUUGACGUUACCCGCAGAAGAAGCACCGGCUAACUCCGUGCCAGCCGCCGCGGUAAUU